GAGGGAGAAACCUGCCGCCGCUCGCCGCCUCUUUGUCUGCUCCGGGACUUGGAACAAAAGGGGGAACUCUGAUGAACUCUCUCCUCCCCUCUCCCCCGGACGCCCGGGUAUCUCUCCCUCUCGCAACUUUGCCGCCGCGACUUUCUCCGCUGUCGGGCCACACACAAAAGUGUCCGAGCGCCUCGCGGACUGCAGCAAGGGAAAUGUCCCUUAGCAGUGCGACGAGGUGGGGACGAAGGCGCAGUUAUUAUCAUCAGCAUCUAGAAAGCAUCAUUCAGGGCAUUGACAUCCAUACUGCAUUGUUCUUACUGGAUCUUUCUAUCAGUGAACAUUAUGGAAGUACCAAUACAGCAUCAAGUUAUUCCUGGAUGGAAAGUUUUCAAACUUCUUCAUUUGGAGUUACUUGAACUUUAGGAUGAUAGGCUUUUUGACGAUGCCUUCCCUAUGUGGAUUACUACAAUUUGAUCACUGGGAAUUCUCUGCCUCAAAGCAGAUAAUUUUGCUCUCUGGAAACUCAUGCCCACCUCUUUGACUUCGGGUCAAAAUUGCUUUCCUCACACUUGUAAAACAUUAGAAUGUCCUUCCGCGGUGGGCUGUCGAAUGUCAUGUAAGUUACUACUUUUUUUUUUUUUUUUCCAGAAUGUGAUGGAUUUUCACGUGUGGAUUUGGUUGUGUAGAUAGCCAAACUAGAUUGCUGUCUAAGAAUUCGCAUCGUAAUCUAUCAGGUUCUCCUUGACAUUCACAUUGGGGAGUGAUCUGGCCAGAUGCAGGUGAAGAUGAUGAACAUUACCUUGUUUUAAUUGGGAUGGCCAAGUCACCCUUAAAAACUCACCGAUUUUCCAGUGACCUUUACCCCACCCCCUCCUCCCCAGGGUCAUGUGUUAGAAACUACCUGUGUUAGUCCUUGUGAAGCAUUAAGCAGAGUGUCUAGGGCCACGUAAGGGUACGUCUAAAUAUUAGCUGUCACUAUUAUUAUUUUCAAUAUUUACAGUAAAGAGAUUUAUUUUUAUAUUUCAUUCUAUUUUUAUUUUAUCAUAAAACUAUUUUUAUAUGGGGCGCCUGGGUGGAUCAGUCGGUUGAGCGUCCGACUUCGGCUCAGGUCACGAUCUCGCGGUCCGUGAGUUCGAGCCCCGCGUCGGGCUCUGAGCUAAUGGCUCAGAGCCUGGAGCCUGCUUCCGAUUCUGUGUCUCCCUCUCUCUCUGCCCCUCCCCCGUUCAUGCUCUGUCUCUCUCUGUCCCAAAAAUAAAUAAA